ensembl:snRNA U6 U6 spliceosomal RNA
GUGCUCGCUUCGGCAGCACAUUUACUAAAAUUGGAACGAUACAGAGAAGAUUAGCAUGGCCCUUGCGCAAGGAUGACACGAAAAUAUAAUGCACAUUUCCAACAACAU